GGGGGGAUAGCCAAGCGGUCAAAGGCAGCAGACUGUAAAUCUGCCGGCGGGAGCCUUCGUAGGUUCAAAUCCUACUCCCCCCACCA
rnacentral:tRNA from 1 species